rnacentral:rRNA from 1 species
GACGAACGCUGGCGGCGUGCUUAACACAUGCAAGUCGAACGGUGAAGCGCUUUCCUUUUUGGUUGGUGUGGAUGAGUGGCGAACGGGUGAGUAACACGUGAGUAACCUGCCCCCUUCUUCUGGAUAACCGCAUGAAAGUGUGGCUAAUACGGGAUAUUCUGCGCCUGCUGCAUGGUGGGUGUGGGAAAGAUUGUGCCUUUGGGUGUUUUCGGUGGGGGAUGGGCUCGCGGCCUAUCAGCUUGUUGGUGGGGUGAUGGCCUACCAAGGCGGUGACGGGUAGCCGGCCUGAGAGGGUGGACGGUCACACUUGGACUGAGACACCGGCCAGACUCAUACGGGAGGCAGCAGUGGGGAAAAGUGCACAAUGGGUGCAAGCCUGAUGCAGCGACGCCGCGUGAGGGAUGGAGGCCUUCGGGUUGUGAACCUCUUUCGCCAGUGAAGCAGGCCUGCUCCUUGUGGGUGGGUUGACGGUAGCUGGAUAAGAAGCGCCGGCUAACUACGUG